GGCGGACGGGUGAGUAACACGUGGGCAACCUGCCCUGUAGAUUGGGAUAACUCCGGGAAACCGGGGCUAAUACCGAAUAAUCCUUCGGACCUCAUGGUCCGAUGUUGAAAGGCGGCAUCUCGCUGUCACUACAGGAUGGGCCCGCGGCGCAUUAGCUAGUUGGUGAGGUAACGGCUCACCAAGGCCACGAUGCGUAGCCGACCUGAGAGGGUGAUCGGCCACACUGGGACUGAGACACGGCCCAGACUCC
rnacentral:rRNA from 1 species